GACAAGAACCUGGUAAAUGGAAACUGAACAGUUAGGGGGGCAUCUCUAGGCCCCGGGGAGACAGGAAACCCACCAAGGUAGAGCCUGAUGACAAGGACACAGAAGCCACAGCUCAUGGACUUCAUGCUUUCAGGGAAAAGACAGCUACCUAUACUGAUCCACUGGUCUCUGCUUAAAAAGAAAUUCAAGGUGGUAAACCAAAUUACAAAAAGGAGGAGGAAGAAGAAAAAGGCAGGAGGCGAUCUUAAAACAUUAGCUCAAAACAUCCAAGCUCACUCAAAAGUCACUUCCUGUAUAAAGGCCUCCACAGCUCCCACAGAGAGACAGGCCCCUGUUCUGGGAGAAAUUGAGCCUAGUAGCUGAAGGGAGAGCACAGCCCUGGGCCAGUACCUGACUCCAGACAGAAGCAGUACUCCAGGGGGCCCAGGGCCGAGGAUGUGUUGCAGAAGAUGGCGAAG